rnacentral:rRNA from 1 species
UACGGAGGAUGCAAGCGUUAUCCGGAUUUAUUGGGUUUAAAGGGUGCGCAGGUUGUUUGAUAAGUCAGUGGUGAAAGUCUGUCGCUUAACGGUAGGAUUGCCAUUGAUACUGUUGGACUUGGAUAUGGAUGAGGUAGGCGGAAUGUGUAGUGUAGCGGUGAAAUGCAUAGAUAUUACACAGAGCACCGAUUGCGAAGGCAGCUUACUAAUCCAUCAUUGACGCUGAGGCACGAAAGCGUGGGGAUCAAA